UACGUAGGGUGCAAGCGUUAAUCGGAAUUACUGGGCGUAAAGCGUGCGCAGGCGGCUUUGCAAGACAGAUGUGAAAUCCCCGGGCUCAACCUGGGACCUGCAUUUGUGACUGCAUCGCUAGAGUACGGCAGAGGGGGAUGGAAUUCCGCGUGUAGCAGUGAAAUGCGUAGAUAUGCGGAGGAACACCGAUGGCGAAGGCAAUCCCCUGGGCCUGUACUGACGCUCAUGCACGAAAGCGUGGGGAGCAAACAGG
rnacentral:rRNA from 1 species